rnacentral:rRNA from 1 species
CUCCGGUUGAUCCCGCGGGACCCGACUGCUAUCAGAGUGGGACUAAGCCAUGCGAGUCAACGCAGCAAUGCGUGGCAUACGGCUCAGUAACACGUAGUCAACAUGCCCAGGGGACGUGGAUAACCUCGGGAAACUGAGGAUAAACCGCGAUAGGCCAAGAUUUCUGGAAUGGAUAAUGGCUGAAAUCUACAUGGCCCCUGGAUUGGACUGCGGCCGAUCAGGCUGUUGGUGAGGUAAUGGCCCACCAAACCUGUAACCGGUACGGGCUCUGAGAGGAGGAGCCCGGAGAUGGGCACUGAGACAAGGGCCCAGGCCCUAUGGGGCGCAGCAGGCGCGAAACCUCUGCAAUAGGCGAAAGCUUGACAGGGUUACUCUGAGUGAUGUCCGUUAAGGGCAUCUUUUGGCACUUCUAAAAAUAGUGUAGAAUAAGGGGUGGGCAAGUCUGGUGUCAGCCGCCGCGGUAAUACCAGCACCCCGAGUGGUCGGGACGAUUAUUGGGCCUAAAGCAUCCGUAGCCGGUUCUGCAAGUCUUCCGUUAAAUCCACCUGCUCAACAGAUGGGCUGCGGAGGAUACUACAGGGCUAGGAGGCGGGAGAGGCAAGCGGUACUCAGUGGGUAGGGGUAAAAUCCUCUGAUCCACUGAAGACCACCAGUGGCGAAGGCGGCUUGCCAGAACGCGCUCGACGGUGAGGGAUGAAAGCUGGGGGAGCAAACCGGAUUAGAUACCCGGGUAGUCCCAGCUGUAAACGAUGCAGACUCGGUGAUGGGUUGGCUUCGAGCCAACCCAGUGCCGCAGGGAAGCCGUUAAGUCUGCCGCCUGGGGAGUACGGUCGCAAGACUGAAACUUAAAGGAAUUGGCGGGGGGAGCA